UACGGGGGGAGCAAGCGUUGUUCGGAUUUACUGGGCGUAAAGGGCGCGUAGGCGGUCAGCACAAGUCAGUUGUGAAAUCUCCGGGGCUUAACCUCGGAAAGGUCAACUGAUACUGUGCGACUAGAGUGCGGAAGGGGCAACUGGAAUUCUCGGUGUAGCGGUGAAAUGCGUAGAUAUCGAGAGGAACACCUGCGGCGAAGGCGGGUUGCUGGGCCGACACUGACGCUGAGGUGCGAAGCUAGGGGAGCGAACAGG
rnacentral:rRNA from 1 species